rnacentral:rRNA from 1 species
UAAAGCCGAAGACCUUCCAAGCCGUCGCACGCACCCCGAAGGCACGAAGCCCACAUACGAAAGUAGCUUUACUAUUAAACCGACCCCACGAAAGCUAAGAAACAAACUGGGAUUAGAUACCCCACUAUGCUUAGCCUUAAACCCAGAUGCUUAAAAUACAAACACAUCCGCCAGGGUACUACGAGCGCUAGCUUAAAACCCAAGGGACUUGACGGUGUCUUAGACCCACCUAGAGGAGCCUGUUCUAGAACCGAUAAUCCUCGUUUAACCUCACCACCCCUUGUCCACUCCGCCUAUAUACCGCCGUCGCAAGCUUACCCUGUGAAGGAACCAUAGUAAGCAAAAUGGGUAAAACCCAAAACGUCAGGUCGAGGUGUAGCUAAUGGGGCGGGAAGAAAUGGGCUACAUUUUCUGAAACAGAAAAUCACGAACAACACCAUGAAAACUGGUAUUUGAAGGUGGAUUUAGCAGUAAAAAAUAAGCAGAGCGUAUUUUUGAAUCAGGCUCUGAGACGCGCACACACCGCCCGUCACUC